AUAAAUAAAUAAAAAUAACUUUCUGGUCUAUUUUGCAACUUGCAUAUUUGGUGAUAUUCUUCUCUCUGGGGUCAUGUUUUCUUAUUCUCAAAUAGCCUUGUCUGUUUUGAGAAUGCCGUCAGCAAGUAAUAAAGCUUUUUUCAGCUGUGAGUCUCACCUCCCAUUUGUUUCCCGAUUCUACAGGGCGGGUUGGGGGGUGUACAUUAGCUCUGCCGUUUCUGACUCUUCAAGGAGGGCUGCGGUGGCUUCAGUGAUGUACACAGUGGUCACACCUAUUAUGAACCCCUUUAUCUACAGCCUGAGGAACAGAGAUAUGAAGAGAGCCUCGGGGAA
rnacentral:lncRNA from 10 species